UGUUGGGAGGGGGGGCACAUUUGUGUUUGUUCUAUUUCUAUGAGCAUACAUCUGUGUGUUUGUGUGUAUGCAUUGUGUCUGUGUGUCUUGUGUGUGUGUGUGUGUGUGUGCGUGUGUCUGUGUGUGUAUGUAUGCAUAUAUGUGUGUAUGUACUAUCUUUAUUUGUCUGUCUAUAUUGUCUGUGUACCUGCUCUCUCAGGUCUGUCCACAUGGCCUGGCCCAGCGUCGCCGUCACUCCCCUGCUCUCCGAGGGCCUGUUGCCGUGCGCCGGGUUCACUUGGAGGUUCCGCGUUCCGCCCGUGAUUGAUGCUGACGAGCGCGGAUGCAGGCAGAGGGUGUCUUUGUGCCCCUGUCACUACUCUCCCAUCCACCCAUCAGGCGCCUUCGCUCUGCACUCCUCUGACAAAACCGCACACACACACACCCACACACACGCACGGACACACACACACACACACAUCACAUACACCCACACGCACGGACACACACACACACAUCCACAAACACGCACGGACACACACACACACACACAUCACAUACACACACACGCACGGACACACGCACACACAUCACACACACACACACACACACACACACACACACACGCACGCACGGAUGCACACAGGCAUGAGCUCUUGCCUGGAUUUCUGGGUUAUCUGAGCCAGUGGGCAGAGCCGGUUUCGUGUCUCCUCUGUGAGAGAGCUGCUGCGCUUGUGGCCUUUCACUGCAGCGUCAUGAGGAACUGUUGGAGAUGGAGCUGCAGCUGCAGCAUCAUGAGGAACUGUUGGAGAUGCAGCGUCAUGUGGAACUGUUGGAGAUGGAGCUGCAGCGUCAUGUGGAACUGUUGGAGAUGGAGCUGCAGCAUCAUGAGGAACUGUUGGAGAUGGAGCUGCAUCAUCAUGAGGAACUGUUGGAGAUGGAGCUGCAGCAUCAUGAGGAACUGUUGGAGAUAGAGCUGCAGCGUCAUGAGGAACUGUUGGAGAUGGAGAUGCAGCGUCAUGAGGAACUGUUGGAGCUGCAGCAUCAUGUGGAACUGUUGGAGCUGCAGCAUCAUGUGGAACUGUUGGAGAUGGAGCUUCAGCGUCAUGAGGAACUGUUGGAGAUGGAGCUGGAGAAGACGUCUGAGAAUGCCCAGAGCAGACCACGUUAAAUGUGCUUGAAAUUAAAAGCCAGC
rnacentral:lncRNA from 1 species